rnacentral:rRNA from 1 species
GGGGAAUAUUGCACAAUGGGGGAAACCCUGAUGCAGCAACGCCGCGUGAGGGAAGAAGGUCUUCGGAUUGUAAACCUUUGUCCUUGGUGACGAUAAUGACGGUAGCCAAGGAGGAAGCUCCGGCUAACUACGUGCCAGCAGCCGCGGUAAUACGUAGGGAGCGAGCGUUGUCCGGAUUUACUGGGUGUAAAGGGUGCGUAGGCGGCUCUGCAAGUCGGGUGUGAAAACCAUCGGCUUAACUGAUGGACUGCAUUUGAAACUGUGGGGCUUGAGUGAAGUAGAGGUAGGCGGAAUUCCCGGUGUAGCGGUGAAAUGCGUAGAGAUCGGGAGGAACACCAGUGGCGAAGGCGGCCUACUGGGCUUUAACUGACGCUGAAGCACGAAAGCAUGGGGAGCAAAC